UGGGGAAUAUUGUGCAAUGGGCGAAAGCCUGACACAGCGAUGCCGCGUGAAGGAUGAAGGUCUUAGGAUUGUAAACUUCUGUUAAAUGGGAAGAAAGAGUGUGAGUUAAUAGCUUGCAAAGAUGACGGUACCAUUAGAGAAAGCCCCGGCUAACUUCGUGCCAGCAGCCGCGGUAAGACGAGGGGGGCAAGCGUUAUUCGGAAUUACUGGGCGUAAAGGGCGUGUAGGUGGCCUGUUAAGUUUGAUGUUAAAUCACACAGCCUAACUGUGUGGCGGCAUUGGAUACUGAUAGGCUAGAGGGUAAAAGAGAGGAGUGGAAUUCUCGGAGUAGCGGUUAAAUGCGUGGAUCUCGAGAGGAACACCGAUGGCGAAGGCAGCUCCUUGGUUUACAACUGACACU
rnacentral:rRNA from 1 species